rnacentral:rRNA from 1 species
AUAUUGCGCAAUGGGGGCAACCCUGACGCAGCGACGCCGCGUGAGCGAAGAAGGCCUUAGGGUCGUAAAGCUCUGUUUUAAGGGACGAACUUUACCUAUGUGAACAAUGUAGGUAACUGACGGUACCUUAGGAGAAAGCCCCGGCUAACUACUUGCCAGCAGCCGCGGUAAGACGUAGGGGGCGAGCGUUGUCCGGAAUCACUGGGCGUAAAGAGCACGUAGGCGGGAAUUUAAGUCAGGUGUGAAAGACCGCAGCUUAACUGCGGGGUUGCACUUGAAACUGGAUUUCUUGAGGGCAGGAGAGGAAAGCAGAAUUCCUGGUGUAGCGGUGAAAUGCGUAGAAAUCAGGAGGAAUACCGGUGGCGAAGGCGGCUUUCUGGACUGACCCUGACGCUGAGGUGCGAAAGCGUGGGUAGCAAACA